AGAUUAAUAGUUUUAAAUAAAAUAUUUAAUUUGCAUUUAAAAGAUAUUUUUAUAAUUUAAUUUAAAUUAAUUAAUUUA
rnacentral:tRNA from 1 species